rnacentral:SRP_RNA from 1 species
GCUGGGUGUGCUGGCGGGUGCCUGUAAUCCCAGCUCCUUGGGAGGCUGAGGCAGAAGAAUCACUUGAACCCAGGAGGUGGAGAUUGCAGUGAGCCAAGAUCAUGACACUGCACUCCAGCCUGGGCAACAGAGUGAGACUCUGUCUCAA